rnacentral:tRNA from 1 species
GCCCUGGUAGCUCAGCUGGAUAGAGCGUCCGCCUCCUAAGCGGAAGGCCGCUGGUUCGAAUCCAGUCCAGGGUGCCA